rnacentral:rRNA from 1 species
CCCCAGGUCAGGCGGGGCUACCCGCUGAAUUUAAGCAUAUCAAUAAGCGGAGGAAA